rnacentral:rRNA from 1 species
AGAGUUUGAUCCUGGCUCAGAACGAACGUUGGCGGCGUGGAUUAGGCAUGCAAGUCGAGCGAGAUUCUAAUUUUUCAAUUCUUCGGAAAAGAAGUUUUAGAUGACAGCGGCGAACGGGUGAGUAAUAUAUGGGUAAUUUGCCCCUAAGUUCGGAAUAGCCAUCGGAAACGGUGAGUAAUGCCGAAUGUGAUCGUCUACCUCAUGGUAGACUGUUUAAAGGCUGGGAAUCUUCGGAUCCAGUCGUUUAGGGAUAAGCCCAUAUCCUAUCAGCUUGUUGGUGAGGUAAUGGCUCACCAAGGCUUACGGGUAGCCGGCCUGAGAGGGUGAUCGGCCACACUGGGACUGAGACACUGCCCAGACUCCUACGGGAGGCUGCAGUCGAGAAUCAUUGUCAAUGCACGAAAGUGUGAACAUGCGACGCCGCGUGGAGGAAGACGGCCUUCGGGUUGUAAACUCCUGUCAGCAGGGAGGAAGGAUAGCAGCAUUAAUAGUGUUGUUAUUUGACAGUACCUGCAGAGGAAGUCACGGCUAACU